ACCCCCACACACACACAUGCACACGUUUCCAUAGAGAGAGGUUCCACUUUGCAUUAGCAGCUCAUGCUUCAGCGCUCUGCGAGUGUUUAUAGCCCUGUGACUUUAACACUUCAUGACUGAGAGCUGCUGCUCAGCGACUUCACCCACAGCAACCAUGAGUUUGAUCAGCCUCUUCAUCUGCACACUGGCCCUCUGCGCUCGAGGAUCCAGAGGUCAGGUGACUGUGACUCAGAAUCCUGCAGUGAAAUCUUUUUCUCCAGGAGACACACUCACCAUCAGCUGUAAAACCAGCUCUGCUGUUUAUGAUGACUGUGGUGAUAGCAAUGACUGCUUGUCCUGGUAUCAGCAGAAAGCUGGAGAAGCUCCUAAACUCCUGAUCUAUUAUGCUAAUGAAAGAGAAUCAGGUAUUCCAGAUCGUUUCAGUGGCAGUGGAUCUGGAUCUGAUUUCACUCUGACCAUCAGUGGAGUCCAGGCUGAAGAUGCUGGAGAUUAUUACUGUCAGAGUUACCAUGAGAUCAGUAGUAGCUAUGUGUUCACACAGUGUUAGAGCGUCGUACAAAAACCUGGGUGAGUGUGACUGCUGCAGCUGGGACCUACUGCAGGUGCUGAGGGGGACGAUGUGAUACAGCACAACGAUACACACACACACACACACACAUACACAAACACAUACUACUCCAAGCACACACAAACACACACAUACACACACAUACACAAACAAACAUUACUCGACACACGCACACACACUCACUACUCCACACACACAAACAUUCACUACUUCACACACACAAACACAACACAACCACUACUCCACACACACACACACACACACACACUACUCCAAGCACAUACACACACACACUACGCCACACACAUACACACACUCACUACUACACACAUUCACAACACACUCACUACUCCACACACACACACACACACACAUACUACUGACCACAAACACACACACACACACAGAUCACUACCACAUUAAGCACACACAAAGCACUCAAAACAAACAUCUCUCAAAAGCUGCUGCAGAACAAAAAAGUAUUGCAAAAACAGAGGGAAAAUGUAGUAUUGAUUCUCUGUGUGAAGUUUAUAUACAGAAAAACUAUCAAAAAUAAAGAGAUCUGGGAGAUUUUCAAUCAUUCUCAGUACAGUAGUGGAUGUGAUUGUACGCUUGAUGCAGUAGUGAGUGAAGUGCAUAUAUUAUUACUCAGACACAUAUAAUAAAAUGAGGUAGUGAUUAUAGAGCUUUUCACAUUAACAGGAGCAAAACUGUAUCACCUAAAAUGUCAUUGAUGUUCAUGUUGCAACAAAAGCUUAGAAAAGAAAAAGUUCUACACCUAUCUGAUCUCACAGCAGCUAAUAUUACACCAAAAUACUCUUUAACUGUGAUCAAAAUGUCUGUUUAUUCUAGCUGCACCCUGAAUAACUACUGCAUCACCACUGGAAAUACUAAUUAGUGGAAAUUAGUCAUGUUUAGUACUUUGUUGCAUAUCCUUUACAUGCAAUGACCACUUGAAGUCUGUGACUCAUAGACAUCAGCAGGUGUUGAGUAUCUUCUCUGCUGAUGCUCUGCCAGGCUUGUACUGCAGCCAUCUUCAGCUCCUGCUUGUUUCAGGGGCUUAAGUCCCCUUAAGAUGUUUCUUCAGCAUAUGAAAGUCAUGCUCAAUGGGAUUCAGAUCAGGUGAGAGACUUGGUGAGUCAAGAAUCUUCCAGUUUUUAGCUGUGAAUAUGUUGGCUUUGGCAGUAUGUUUGAUGAGUUGCUAUGCUUUGGAUCUUGGGCAGUCCUCAUCACUGUGAUACAAGUUAAUCUCGGUUCCAUUUGUCUACAAGAACCUUUUCCAGAACUCUGCAAACUCUUUUCAGUAGUUUUAUUAAACUGUAUCCUGGCCAUCCUUUCUUUGUGGCUAGUUAGUGGUUUGCAUCUUGCAGUCUAGCCUCUGUAUUUCUGUUCAUGAAGUCUUCUGUGGACCAGAGGCAUUAUUUUGCCUUGAAAUGGAGGUUUGUGUAAAAAAUGUGCUGUAGUUUUUACAUGGUCAAUCUAAAAUGUAUAAACAUAUUCUUUAUUAAAAUCUGAGAAUGACCACUUUAA